UACGUAGGGGGCAAGCGUUGUCCGGAUUUAUUGGGCGUAAAGAGCGUGUAGGCGGUUUGGUAGGUCCGCUGUGAAAACUCGAGGCUCAACCUCGAGACGCCGGUGGAAACCAUCAGACUAGAGUCCGGAAGAGGAGAGUGGAAUUCCUGGUGUAGCGGUGAAAUGCGCAGAUAUCAGGAAGAACACCCGUGGCUAAGGCGGCUCUCUAGUACGGUACUGACGCUGAGACGCGAAAGCGUGGGGAGCGAGCAGG
rnacentral:rRNA from 1 species